UACGUAGGGUGCAAGCGUUGUCCGGAAUUAUUGGGCGUAAAGAGCUCGUAGGCGGUCUGUCGCGUCGGCUGUGAAAACCCGGGGCUCAACCCCGGGCCUGCAGUCGAUACGGGCAGACUAGAGUGCGGUAGGGGAGACUGGAAUUCCUGGUGUAGCGGUGAAAUGCGCAGAUAUCAGGAGGAACACCUGCGGCGAAGGCGGGUUGCUGGGCUAGAACUGACGCUCAUGCACGAAAGCGUGGGGAGCGAA
rnacentral:rRNA from 1 species